AGCAGGUAUCUUUUGAAUUAUGGGCAGGAAGAACAGCCACCUCUACCCGAACCUCCAUCUCUACCUUAUACCCUGGCUGCUAAUCCUACCUCUACACUGGAAGAGCUUCACAGGAGAGAAAGGGAGAAUGAGAACAAGAGAAGCCUGAGCACUACUCUGGCACAUGUACACAGAGAGCCAACAAGGAGCCUCACACAUGCAAGACCUGUGCUUUACCAGGUGGCCUUCCUGACUUGAGACAAAUAAAGCUAGAGCCCAGAAAGAACUCAUCUGAUGGUAGUUUCUCAAGCAGCCUUCUCACAUGUUGGCUCUGCAGAUGACUACACAGGAGAACAACUCAGUCUGCUUCACAGAUUACCCUCAGCACCUGGCCAAGAGUCACUGUGAGUUAGGAGAGGCAAUCAUCAUCUAAGACCAACCAAAUAAAGCAAGAUUAAGUCAGAGUUCCACUUAGAAUCUUAUGCAGUCAUUCCAACGAG